CUUUGACAAAAAAGAAAGGAAAUGAAAAACAAGUGGAAGUGACUUGCCCUUGAAGACCAUCAUGUUGUGGCUGAAAGCCCAGGAAGUUCACAUUCACGCUCGAAAGAACUUGAGUGCAUGCUUUUGUUAUGAAAAUUGUGUUUAUUUCAUUAAAGUGUAGUUUAUGGAUAUUUAAAUCAGCAGAUGUAAAAUCCUUCUCUGAUGUGAUUUAGUGACCAUAUAAUCCUAAUAUCUGUUCUCUGUUCUCUCCCCUCAUGUUCCCCUCCCUCGUUCCUCAAACCAACAGGUCAGUUCUUCCUCUUCCCAUAAACAGAAGAACUUUGGAAGCAAACAGGGAGGAAUGUGAGGCAUGUGAGCGGGACAGCGUGCAUCCAUGCUGCGUGAUUUUUCAGUUGGAGGUCAAGAUGUUGUUGAAAAUACAAAAUAUGAGCAGGCAGGAUGACCUCUGACCUCUGAUUGAUGCUUUGACCUCUGGCGGACUGCCUACAUUUGCUGGUGAAAAGGAGCAUCUGUCACGCUUUUCCUCAGCCACCGUCUGUCUCUUUCACCGCAGCCUGCACGGUCUAAUGCUGCAGAUUGACUCCCAGCCCCUCCCUCUCCCCUAGCUGACCCCUACCCCCCCCUUCACACACAGCCCCAGUGCAUGUGCAGCAGUGGGAAGUUAGCUGGAGGUUCUGACCUCAUGUCAUGUGGUUCGCUUGGG
rnacentral:lncRNA from 1 species